AGCGGUGGAUCAGAAGAAUCCUCUGCAGAUUCCUAGACCCUGCAAGCUUAGAGCUUCAGGAGAUCUGGAGGGGAGCCUCUGAAAGCUGGUCAGUGACAGCGCGUGGAGAAACACGACCGAGGGCUCCUGUCCCCAGUUCCUGGUGUCACCGCCAGGCCAGCUUCUGAACAUUCUGCUUGCCACAGUUGGGCCACACUUGGAUCUUCGAGGCUUCUGUUAAGUUCCCACUGCGUGGAAGGUUUUCUUCUGGAAAUGGGGAUAAUGAGGACCAUGUUGUCCAUCGGGGACAGCUAUUGUGAUGACAAGAGGCAAUUUCCGAGGAGUACUUGGGGGCAAAGACAUCUUCAAGAAUUCUUCCUUGGCCGUCGGCUCCGGACCCCACCAUCACCCCAAAGCCCCAUCAGUACUGUUCCUCCAGAAGUCACAAAGAAAUGGCUUCACGGGCAAGAAAUCUUCAUUUUGCUUGGCAGUUCAGGAGUUUCCUAGGCAUAAACGGUAAAGGAUAUCAUUUAUGAUAAAGGAUAAAGACAUAAAGGAUAAAGGAAAUAGAGGCAUCACUAGUUUGCAUUCUAUACUGAAAUUGGAGCCACAACCCUCACUAAACACUAGACACUAAACCCAACCCCUGCAAGGCGAGAGGGAACUGGGUAAUCACAGGAUGCCAAACUGUCACCCACGGAUCGCCCACUGCUGGUCACAGGGAAGAAGAGGCCGACACGCUUUGUGAGUAUAGACAGCUUUCUCCUACCAUGGUGUUCUUAGGGGCUUCAGGGGAAAAAUGAAGCCAGUGGAGGGCAGGGGGUCCUGGGCCAAUGGAGGGCAGGGUUUCCUGGGCCAAAGGCAUUUAGGAAACGUGUGAAUCCGACAAGGUUAAUUUUUUUCUGCAGCUCUUUUGAGAGCCUUUAUGAAGCUCAUGUGAACUGUGAUGGCGUAAAAGUUAAUCCAUGGAGCAGUUACCAAAUGUCCUUAACCAGAGAGCCCUUUGGAAGGAGCAUCUCGUGGGACUGGCGGUCUAGGGGCUCCAGGCCCCGUGCCCGGCCGCCAGGGUGUGCCGAUGGAAGAAACCAGACCUGCCAGUCAGGUGAACAAAUCCUGCCACUUUUUAUUUAGCUGCCUGCAUUUGGAAAGUUUUUAAAACUGCCUAGGCCUCGGUUUUUAAUCUAUACAUGGAGCCAAUAUCGCACCAGAUAUGCAGUUGAGUUUCUGUGCCUACCUGCGAGCCCCCGUCUGCUGCUGCUCCGUUUUCUAAUCAGUGAGGGGCUGUAAAUGUUGGAGAAAGGUGGGGGGGUGGAUCUCAACUUCUCUCAUACAAUGGUUUGGCUCUGAGUGUGGUGAAAACACCCUGUGGGGACAAGUUGCUCUGGGAAAAAGGACUGAGGCUGCCUCCCCUUUGACCUCACGCUUCCCUGUCGCUUCUUCCUUCCAGCUGGUCUCUUGGCUCAGCCAGAGGGCCCUUGAGGGCAAAGCAUCUCCUGGUGGAACCGAAACUACCCCUUCGAGCAUCAGGACGGAGCUGAGCCAGCAGGACCAGCCGGGAUCACUGGGAGACAAGCUGCCUUUGGCCUUCACUGCCCACCUGCACAGACCCACCUGUGCCCCACGUUCUCCUCGAAUACACCUGCAAGUAUUUUCGGCACUUUGGAGACAGUCCUUGAGACGCCAGUCCGCCGUCUUCCCGGAGCUGGCCUCCCUGAAAUCAGGCCCUUUCCUGUUUCUCCAUCACUCCUUUCCCUGCCUUUGGGUUUUGCCAGCAGCGAGUGGGCGGACCUGGUGUGUUUGGGGCCCUGGGCCCCGGCUACAGCCACAUCCACAGAAGGGGUAGCUCACGUGGCUGACUGCAGACAGUCCUUCUUCUCUGUGCAGCAGGACGGAGCGGCCACGGGAUGAGCUCUUGGGUGGUGACGGCAGCAGCCUGCAAAGCCCCCUGGUCUGCUCCGAAGCUGGCCGAGACUCUACCUUUUGUGUUGGUAGAAAAGGAAGCUGUGGGGAGGGCCUCCCAGUGACUAAACCCAGGAUAAUCUGAGUAUCAGAAAGAACAAAGCCUGACUGCAGGACCCUUAAGGGAAAACCAAAGGAUGUAAAGGAAGACCACAGAAUGGGAGAAAUUUGUUGCAAGUCAUAUAUCUGAUAAGGAA